UCAAUCUCUCUCAAAAACUACCUUCUUCAGGAAACACCACCAUAAAAGCACCAGCUACCACCACCUUUACCACCAUAAUCACCAGCUACCCCCCACCUCCACCACCAUAACCACCAAAUUACCUUUUACAUCAUCAGUUUCUUACAGAAACCCAAUGAAAAAGUUCUCUGCGUUACACACCUCCAUCAGUUCCCUCAAUGAUGCCGCAGACAUGAUAAUUAACUUCAACGGAUUUAAUUUUCGAAUCUCAUUAUUUGAUGCCCCACGUGACAACAAUGUUUUCUUGAAGCUGAAGUGGCUCUGCUCGUGAAUGGUAAACAGAAGAAGAAAAGAGAAGAAGGUUUUGUUAAAUUGGGUGAAAUAUUUUGUGGGUUAUGUUGAAUACUCAAAAAAAUCCAAUUUUUGCAAACUACUGUUGGAACUUUUGUGGGUAUUGUUGAAUGGCAAAAUAUUAUGAUAUGCAGAACAAGAACAAGAUCUUCAUCGCCUAGAGAGAUUCAGAAGACAUAGAUACAUAUCUAUAAGAGAGAGAGAGAGAGAGAAAGAGUAACGUAUGAGAGCAUUCACAUCCCGUCAUCGGCUCAACAAGAUCCGAAAGCAGAUGAUGUUGUGGCAAGAGAGAUGACAACCGUCUCUCUCGCCGGAGCAUCUUUCAAUUUUUCCAAGCAUAUCGCCCCCAUUUGAGUGUAGUCGACGGUGACGGUGAUGAUUUUGUUGGUUGCUCCAACAUUUUAACUGUGAUGAUUUUGGAUAAACCCUAGGUGGUGUUUGGCAUUCCUUAUUUUCUCUCAACUUUUAACUUAUUGACUUUUAUAAGUUAAUAAGUUGUUGCAAUAGUGUUUGGGAAAUAGAAAAGGACUUUUAAAA